rnacentral:rRNA from 1 species
CCUACGGGAGGCAGCAGUGAGGAAUAUUGGUCAAUGGACGAGAGUCUGAACCAGCCAAGUAGCGUGAAGGAUGACUGCCCUAUGGGUUGUAAACUUCUUUUAUAUGGGAAUAAAAUGUUCCACGUGUGGGAUUUUGUAUGUACCAUAUGAAUAAGGAUCGGCUAACUCCGUGCCAGCAGCCGCGGUAAUACGGAGGAUCCGAGCGUUAUCCGGAUGUAUUGGGUUUAAAGGGAGCGUGGGUGGAUUGUUAAGUCAGUUGUGAAAGUUUGCGGCUCAACCGUAAAAUUGCAGUUGAAACUGGCAGUCUUGAGUACAGUAGAGGUGGGCGGAAUUCGUGGUGUAGCGGUGAAAUGCUUAGAUAUCACGAAGAACUCCGAUUGCGAAGGCAGCUCACUGGACUGCAACUGACACUGAGGCUCGAAAGUGUGGGUAUCAAACAGGAUUAGAUACCCGGGUAGUC